ensembl:Y_RNA Y_RNA Y RNA
GGCUAGUCCGAAGGUAGUGAGUUAUCUCAGUUGAUCACAGUCAGUUACAGAUUGAACUCCUUGUUCUACUUUUUCCCCCCUUCUCACUACUGCACUUGACUAGUCUAAA